GGCGAGCUAGUCUAGUGAGACCAAAGCUGGAAUAUGCGUCUCCUGCAUGGGACCCUUAUUACAAGAAAGACGUUGGUAUUAUUGAAAAAGUUCAGAGAUCAGUGGCACGAUUCUGUUUAAGAAAUUACGAACGAACAUCAAGUGUUUCAGAAAUGACAAAAGAGUUGAAAUGGAACACUUUGGAAUUAAGAAGGAAAUGCUGUAUAAAUUAAGCCAUGGGCUGGAAAUGCUG